UACGUAGGGGGCAAGCGUUGUCCGGAUUUAUUGGGCGUAAAGAGCGUGUAGGCGGCUUGGUAGGUCUCGCGUCAAAACCUGAGGCUCAACCUCAGUUCGCGUGGGAAACCACCUAGCUAGAGUCCGGAAGAGGAGAACGGAAUUCCCAGUGUAGCGGUGAAAUGCGCAGAUAUUGGGAAGAACACCAGUGGCGAAGGCGGUUCUCUGGGACGGUACUGACGCUGAGACGCGAAAGCGUGGGGAGCAAACAGG
rnacentral:rRNA from 1 species